rnacentral:misc_RNA from 1 species
UAUUUGCUCGGAGAAGCUAGGCAAAGCUCCAAUAGACGCAUUGUUUCACGAAUGGAGCACAAGAAGGACCAUAAAAGCACAUUCAAAGUCGCAUGUGAGGAUCCCGAGAUCUAUAUUUGCCAAACAUACGAAGAAAACAACACUUAGAUUCAAAGAAACUUCAUAGUCACAGAAAGAAGCGCUAGUAAACUAAGUAGAUG